rnacentral:rRNA from 1 species
AGCUUGCUCCCUGGGUGACGAGCGGCGGACGGUUGAGGUAAUGUCUGGGAAACUGCCUGAUGGAGGGGGAUAACUACUGGAAACGGUAGCUAAUACCGCAUAACGUCGCAAGACCAAAGAGGGGGACCUUCGGGCCUCUUGCCAUCAGAUGUGCCCAGAUGGGAUUAGCUAGUAGGUGGGGUAAUGGCUCACCUAGGCGACGAUCCCUAGCUGGUCUGAGAGGAUGACCAGCCACACUGGAACUGAGACACGGUCCAGACUCCUACGGGAGGCAGCAGUGGGGAAUAUUGCACAAUGGGCGCAAGCCUGAUGCAGCCAUGCCGCGUGUGUGAAGAAGGCCUUCGGGUUGUAAAGCACUUUCAGCGAGGAGGAAGGUGGUGANCUUAAUACGUUCAUCAAUUGACGUUACUCGCAGAAGAAGCACCGGCUAACUCCGUGCCAGCAGCCGCGGUAAUACGGAGGGUGCAAGCGUUAAUCGGAAUUACUGGGCGUAAAGCGCACGCAGGCGGUUUGUUAAGUCAGAUGUG